AGAGUUUGAUCCUGGCUCAGGACGAACGCUGGCGGCGCGCCUAACACAUGCAAGUCGAACGAGCGAGAGAGAGCUUGCUUUCUCGAGCGAGUGGCGAACGGGUGAGUAACGCGUGAGGAACCUGCCUCAAAGAGGGGGACAACAGUUGGAAACGACUGCUAAUACCGCAUAAGCCCACGGCUCGGCAUCGAGCAGAGGGAAAAGGAGCAAUCCGCUUUGAGAUGGCCUCGCGUCCGAUUAGCUAGUUGGUGAGGUAAUGGCCCACCAAGGCAACGAUCGGUAGCCGGACUGAGAGGUUGAACGGCCACAUUGGGACUGAGACACGGCCCAGACUCCUACGGGAGGCAGCAGUGGGGAAUAUUGCACAAUGGGGGAAACCCUGAUGCAGCGACGCCGCGUGGAGGAAGAAGGUCUUCGGAUUGUAAACUCCUGUUGUUGGGGAAGAUAAUGACGGUACCCAACAAGGAAGUGACGGCUAACUACGUGCCAGCAGCCGCGGUAAAACGUAGGUCACAAGCGUUGUCCGGAAUUACUGGGUGUAAAGGGAGCGCAGGCGGGAAGACAAGUUGGAAGUGAAAUCUAUGGGCUCAACCCAUAAACUGCUUUCAAAACUGUUUUUCUUGAGUAGUGCAGAGGUAGGCGGAAUUCCCGGUGUAGCGGUGGAAUGCGUAGAUAUCGGGAGGAACACCAGUGGCGAAGGCGGCCUACUGGGCACCAACUGACGCUGAGGCUCGAAAGUGUGGGUAGCAAACAGGAUUAGAUACCCUGGUAGUCCACACCGUAAACGAUGAUUACUAGGUGUUGGAGGAUUGACCCCUUCAGUGCCGCAGUUAACACAAUAAGUAAUCCACCUGGGGAGUACGACCGCAAGGUUGAAACUCAAAGGAAUUGACGGGGGCCCGCACAAGCAGUGGAGUAUGUGGUUUAAUUCGACGCAACGCGAAGAACCUUACCAAGUCUUGACAUCCCUUGACAGACAUAGAAAUAUGUUUUCUCUUCGGAGCAAGGAGACAGGUGGUGCAUGGUUGUCGUCAGCUCGUGUCGUGAGAUGUUGGGUUAAGUCCCGCAACGAGCGCAACCCUUAUGGUCAGUUACUACGCAAGAGGACUCUGGCCAGACUGCCGUUGACAAAACGGAGGAAGGUGGGGAUGACGUCAAAUCAUCAUGCCCUUUAUGACUUGGGCUACACACGUACUACAAUGGCGUUAAACAAAGAGAAGCAAGACCGCGAGGUGGAGCAAAACUCAGAAACAAAGUCCCAGUUCGGACUGCAGGCUGCAACUCGCCAGCACGAAGUCGGAAUUGCUAGUAAUCGUGGAUCAGCAUGCCACGGUGAAUACGUUCCCGGGCCUUGUACACACCGCCCGUCA
rnacentral:rRNA from 1 species